GUCGAACGGUAACAGGAAGCAGCUUGCUGCUUCGCUGACGAGUGGCGGACGGGUGAGUAAUGUCUGGGAAACUGCCUGAUGGAGGGGGAUAACUACUGGAAACGGUAGCUAAUACCGCAUAACGUCGCAAGACCAAAGAGGGGGACCUUCGGGCCUCUUGCCAUCGGAUGUGCCCAGAUGGGAUUAGCUAGUAGGUGGGGUAACGGCUCACCUAGGCGACGAUCCCUAGCUGGUCUGAGAGGAUGACCAGCCACACUGGAACUGAGACACGGUCCAGACUCCUACGGGAGGCAGCAGUGGGGAAUAUUGCACAAUGGGCGCAAGCCUGAUGCAGCCAUGCCGCGUGUAUGAAGAAGGCCUUCGGGUUGUAAAGUACUUUCAGCGGGGAGGAAGGCGAUAAGGUUAAUAACCUUGUCGAUUGACGUUACCCGCAGAAGAAGCACCGGCUAACUCCGUGCCAGCAGCCGCGGUAAUACGGAGGGUGCAAGCGUUAAUCGGAAUUACUGGGCGUAAAGCGCACGCAGGCGGUCUGUCAAGUCGGAUGUGAAAUCCCCGGGCUCAACCUGGGAACUGCAUUCGAAACUGGCAGGCUAGAGUCUUGUAGAGGGGGGUAGAAUUCC
rnacentral:rRNA from 1 species